AAUAUAACAAUAGAAAUAUAUUAGCAUGGAAAUUUAUAGGCACACCAUAAAUUAGGCUUUAGAAUGAAGUGUAAUGAGUGUCAGCUGCAGCAAUUUAUUCCUUAAAAUGCAAAACAAACUUUACUAGCUAAAUUCACGACAGAAAGGAAUUAUGAAAAAUCACAUUUCUUUACUGUAUCCAAUUCCAGUGUACUUUCAAUUAGAUAAGAGUUUGAUUCAGGUGAGGAUCCAGAAAAUAUAUAAUGCCUGAAAAACAGAUACACUUGUAGCCACAGGGCAUUGUUAUAUGAGAAUGAAGUAAUUAGAUCUCUAAAUUACUCCAUUGUUUAAUUCAAUUCAAUUAAAUAUAUCCUCUAAAUAUCUCUGGUAUUUUCAGCAAUUUUCCUUAGUCAUUACAAGAAACAGAAAGUCAAGAAAGAGUUAUCAUUCUGGGCAGGCCCAAUCUUAUCUUUUUAGACUCUUUAGGUGGGGUUGGGAGAGAGGUCUAUCCCUUCCUCAGAAUCUGUGCUUCUAUUUUAGAAUCCUGUACGGUUCUGAGGCAGAUACCUUACAGUACAAGAGUCAUUUAUCCUGACAGGCACUGUCCUUCUUCUCGUCAGCAUGACCGUGAGGACUGGGAUGAGCUUGAAUGAGUCCAAGUUCUACAUGGGGUUCCGAGAUCUUCCUUGAGCCACACUGUUUCUGGAAUGCCUAGGAAAAUCCCUGCUUCAGAGCCCUCACAGCAGGAGUUACAUUUUCAUGCCUUCUUUACUCAAAUAAUUCCAAGAGUACUUUGAAGUAGAAGAGCAAGGCAGAAGAGGAGAGCCAGAGUGAAAUGUGACUACGGAAGAAACACACAGAGACCGGCAGCUUUGCUAGUGUUGAAGACGCAGGAAGAAAGCCGUGAACCAACAAUGAAUGUGGAUGGCCCACAGAAGCAAGAAAGGGCCAAAAAAUAAACUUACCCCUAGAACAACCUGAUGGGAAUGCAGUCCUGCCAAUAUCCUGAUUUUAGCCCAGUGAGACCCAUUACACAGUGGGUCUACAUGACCUUACACAACCAAAAGGCAGUACGAUUGUGUUGUUUUAAGCUCUUAAAUGUGUGGCAAUUUGUUACAGCAGCAAUAAAAAACUAACACCUAUCUAAAGUUUAAUCAACUUCUCAACAUUCCUUUCCCCUUUCCGCUGUUUUAUUUUUGCCAUAGCAUUAAUUUCUUACUAAUGUACAUUAUGGUUUUUUCAUUUUUCUUAUUAAUGCUGUGUCUCAUUGGAAUGCAAGUUCUGAGAAGGAUGUAAGAACAGAUAUGUUUGCCUUUUUUGCUGACUGCGGUAUCCCCACCACCCACAAGUGUGCCUAGAGCAUGAUAAAUAUUUUAUUAAAAUUUUUGAAUGAAUACAUUGAAUAUAUAUGUGUGUGUGUGUGUGUGUGUGUGUGUGUCUGUGUGCUGAUUGGUUAUAUUUAAUUUAGAUUCUCUCUAUUGCUUUAUCUUGUGCUUGUUAAGGACCUUUCUUAUUUACUUACUGAGUUAUUCAAUAAUUACUACUUCUGCCCUCCAGUAAAUCAUCUUGCAGCCCUGAGUUCUCACUUUCUUAACUCCAGUUUACUUGAUCCUUCUCCCUAUAAUUUCAUACCACAUUUGAAGCAAAAAUUGCCCUUUUUAGAGCACUUUUUAAAACACCUGCUCACUCAGAAAGUAUAUCAGGAACAAAGGCAUUUAGUGAUUCUUGAUAUGCACUUGUUAAACAUUGCUGAGUGGUCAGCACAGUGAACAUAACGGAUUACAUUGUAAAAUCUUUUAUGAUAUAUUUAAUCUUAAUUUGUUUUUGAUGAAUAACAACAAAACAUAUUAAUCUUAUAAUUAGCAAUAAAUGAAAAACAUAAGUUUAUAAUAUUUGGUAAAGUAAUGACUAUAUAUGUUGCAGAGACAAGAAGGUCAUACAUACACAGAUGCCUUUAUAUGUUUUUACCCUAGAAAACUUAAAAAGAUUCAUCCAUUUUCCUACCUAGAUUUUAUUUUGCUUUUGAUCACUUUUCUUACCUUAAUUUAUAUUUCAAUAUGGUAUUUCAUCUUCAAUAUUAUACUUUUAAAAGUACUAGCUUCUAAGGAAAAUAAAAUUGAAUUUAUUCUUGAAAUCAUUUUUCAUAUGUAUAAUGUGGUAUCUACUUUAUUCAUAUUAUGUUAGAUAGUAGGCAAUAGUUUGGAGUGGCUGAUUGCCCUGUUCAUACUAUUCCAAGCAAUAUCUAAAGACAAAUGCACUGAACAAACUGAGUUAAACUUUCUCUGCUGAAAUUUGCAGCUUAUUUAGUGGCUUAUGAGAGGAAACACACACACAGAUUGAAUAGAAAAGGAUUUUUCCCCAUUAAAACAUCCUUAUGUAUUCUCAUUGUGAUUACACGGAGGUCAUUUUUCAAAAUGCCAAAUGGUUUCUUAUCAGAAUAAGAAUGACACAAGCUGUGGUCUGACUUAUGUGACAUUGAAUCUCAAAAUGAGUCACUAAAGUAAAUUAAAAAGUGAGAGUUUUGAAGCAAGUUAGCAUUCCCUCCUGAAUCCUGCCUUGUAGAGUGUCAUGAUGUAUUGAACUAUCAAGAACAUACUAUACAAAACACACACACACAGUUAGUAUUUACUCCAGAAUUACGUUAUUAUAAAAUCAAUGAGUUGACAUCAUGUAUGAAAUUUUCCAUGCAAGGCGUCAGGGAAAAUUCUGUAUAGUCAAACUCAGCAUUAGUCCAUCCCAUUGGGUAAUUACAGCAUUCAAAACUCAUGCCAAUUAUUAUGGCCAUUUAUGUGCAUAAUAACAUCUGUCAAUCUUCCAGCUAUAUUUAUCUUAUACAAGUAAUAGUGCUGUCUCAUGUAGAAAUGAGAAAUAUGUUAAUUAAAGCAAAUUGAAAUUUUUAUUUCCCAUAAUUUGAAUGACUAUCUGAAGAAUUGGAAAAUAAGUGAUUAAAAUAAAAACAGAUAUCUAAGAUUUUAAAAUAAAGUUUGCUCUAAUUUUUAGAUCAUUUUAAUUAGUUCUCAAAUAGAGUCCAAACAAAAUAGCACACCAUUUCCUUUACUAUGGUUUUGCAAAUACAGUUGUGAUGAUAAUUGGUCAAUAUUGUUUGGCAGAGGCCAAUUUCAUCUGAAAGUUUAUGAGUUUGGUCUGUGUUAGUUCUGUAAAGAUUGGCUUUAAUUCCAAAAAUCACCUUAUAAGCCAUCGACCAAAUGCUUUCUGUUUUGUUUUGCAAUAUGAAUAAUAAUAGUCAUCGCAGGGGUAUUAAAAAACAUCCUUAGAAACCCCUUACCUUCAUCCAAAGUUGUAUUUAAAUCUACAGGUGAAGAAACCUAAAGUAGAAUGGUAAACUUCAUCCACGACCCAAACUGGCAAAUAAAGAUAACCCAAAAUAUUUUUUGUCAGCAAGCACAAUGUUUUGUAGUAGUUGUUAUGCCUGUUUUUGUUUUUUUCAUGAUGUGAGGAUGAAAUGAACAGAGUUUGAAAACAUCUCUGUUUAGAAGCUCCAUUUCAUUUUGAAUAAUAAUUCCCUCUAAUAACUUUUUUUUAACUUUCUGCCUUACCAGUUGGCUAUUCAAUAUCAUAUGGUACAGUUUACUUCAGACCCAGAGCUUUUCCUCAAGUUGUUAUUAUAAUUUUUACAACUAAAAUGCAAAACAUCUAUUUGUAUUAUUAUUAAACCAGAUUUAAUUUAUUCAUUUAUUAAAGAAUACUAAACAACCUGAGGACAUAAAUAAAACAUACUUUUUAACGGAGAGUGAAAAACAAUCCUUUCAUCAUGAUUUUAUCUUCUGUAUUCAAUGGUUUGACCUGGCAGUUGUUUGUUUGUUUGUUUAUUCUUCAAGCAAUUUAAAAAAGAAAAACUAUCCUGAGAAGGACAUCCAUCUAUAUGCUAUGAGCUAAUUAUCGCUGGUGCUUUUCUAAUCAGAUGACGUAGCCAAGUCAAGUAAAUAUUCUUGAAUUUGUUAAUCUAUAGAACUAGAUUGUAAUACUAUAUGUUUCACAGGAUUUUUGUUAAAACUAAGUGGAAUAAUUUGUGAAAUGUUAUGCCCAACAUCUGGUAAACAGUAGGCUGAGCGCGUUCAGGGAGCAGGUCAGUUUCGAUUACCUUCAUGCUUAGGACAAUGCCUGGGACACUGCAGGAACUCAAUUACAAUUGUUCAUUGAAUCAGUGAAUAUAUGAAUAAAACCUACUUUCUAUUUUUGACAUCUAAUCAGGGUUUAUUAGUGCAAAGACACAGAAUUGGGGAUGGAGAUAAAUCAAUGAAAAUGAAAGCAGAGUCAUCAUAUAGAAAUAUCAAGAACAGUAAAUAUCCAGGUAGUUAAAGUAACAUUUGUUCGGAGGACGUAGAUAAUUUAAAGAGAAAUUCUGUCUUUAUAUAUUAGGUUUAUAUAUUACUAAAAAUAGUGAUUAUCUAGCUCUUUAAAAUGUUGACUGCCUGAAGUUCUAGAACAUAGAGGGAGAACUGUGAUUUUGUUUUGUUUCAUUUUUAGUUUGUAUGUGUUAACAAAAUACUACUGCUAAAGUGUCCUGCUCCAUCGACUUUAACCGAUAUCCACCAACUGG